GCCGGGAUGGUGGAAUGGCAGACACGGUAGACUCAAAAUCUGCUGAGCGCAAGCUCAUGAGGGUUCGACCCCCUCUCCCGGUA
rnacentral:tRNA from 1 species